rnacentral:rRNA from 1 species
GACGAACGCUGGCGGCGUGCCUAAUACAUGCAAGUCGAGCGGACUUGAUGAAGUGCUUGCACUUCUGACGGUUAGCGGCGGACGGGUGAGUAACACGUAGGUAACCUGCCUGUAAGACCGGGAUAACAUUCGGAAACGGAUGCUAAUACCGGAUACGCGAUUUCUUCGCAUGGAGGAAUCGGGAAAGACGGAGCAAUCUGUCACUUACAGAUGGACCUGCGGCGCAUUAGCUAGUUGGUGAGGUAACGGCUCACCAAGGCGACGAUGCGUAGCCGACCUGAGAGGGUGAUCGGCCACACUGGGACUGAGACACGGCCCAGACUCCUACGGGAGGCAGCAGUAGGGAAUCUUCCGCAAUGGACGAAAGUCUGACGGAGCAACGCCGCGUGAGUGAUGAAGGUUUUCGGAUCGUAAAGCUCUGUUGCCAGGGAAGAACGCCUCGGAGAGUAACUGCUCCGGGGGUGACGGUACCUGAGAAGAAAGCCCCGGCUAACUACGUGCCAGCAGCCGCGGUAAUACGUAGGGGGCAAGCGUUGUCCGGAAUUAUUGGGCGUAAAGCGCGCGCAGGCGGCUUUGUAAGUCUGAUGUUUAAUACACGGGCUCAACCCGUGUUCGCAUUGGAAACUGCAAGGCUUGAGUGCAGAAGAGGAAAGUGGAAUUCCACGUGUAGCGGUGAAAUGCGUAGAGAUGUGGAGGAACACCAGUGGCGAAGGCGACUUUCUGGGCUGUAACUGAC